UGUCGACAAAUAUUGAUAAUUUUUUUCAUCACAUUCAACUAAGCAACACCAAGUUCUUUCAUGGCCUUGGCAACUCAAGCCUACGUCUUUACCCCAGCCCUCUUUGGCGACAAUCGGGUAGCAAUGCUGUGGAAUCAAUCCUCCCUCAGUCGCUUGCAUCAUUCAUUAGUCCUAGGCCGAUCAAGUCCACCAUGGCACAUAGUCCUAUAAGGGCCAUGGCCGAGGAAGCGCCUGCCACGAAAGAGGUGAAGAAAGAGGCUCCGAUCGACCUCACUCCUCCGGAACUGGACCUGAACACCCCAUCACCAAAAUUUUUGGUGGUAGCACCAGUGGACUAUUGCACCUAAGGAACAAAUUUCUGAAAUGCCAACUGGUGGCGCCGCCGUUAUGCGGCAGGGACCUAACCUAUUGAAAUUGGCUAGGAAAGAAUAGUGUUUGGCUCUUGGGACUAGAUUGAGGUCCAAGUACAAGAUUAAUUACCAAUUUUACAGAGUUUCCUAAUGGUGAGGUGCAAUAUUCGCACCCUAAGGAUGGUGUCUAUCCUGAGAAUGUGAACCUUGAUCGCCUUUAUAUAGAACAAAACGAAGAAAACAUAAUAAGACCAAACCACAGGUAAAAAAAUCAACUCAAUACAUUAACAAAUGGCAACGUCUAGUUAUUAUUUUACAAAAUUAAUAAGCUGAUCGAAUGUUAAAUCUUGUCAUAUGUGGAAUAAAAUGUUGGGGAUUUUAAUAAAGGAGAGAUGUUUGGGAUCCUUUGCACAUUAACAUCUCCUUAAUUUUUAGAUGGUUAAUGUCCGUUUGGACGGAAGCGUGAUAAAGCAAUGUUGCGUGGAAGUAGAAGAUCCUUGGCUCGUGCGUGUCUCAUACACUUUGGUCGUACUUCAAGAAUUUAGGGUAGAGCUAAUUUCAUCCCUAUUAAGUUGAGAAAUUUAAUCUUAUUUGACUUUACAUAAAUAUCAACAUAUUUAGCUCAAUCUUUCUAAGUAGAACUUCGAGUUAAUUGUUCCAAUGGUCACUAAACUUAUAUCUAUGUUUUCGAUUCUUUACUAAAAUUUAAGAUAUUGAGUUUUGACCACUCAACUUAUCCAAAAGUUGGACGUUACUAUAUAACUUCCGUUUCAAACUAUUAACAAAAUUGGUAACGUGGCUAACAGAAUAUUACUUAUGGCUCCUUGUUACGUCGUUAAACUUUGAGGUGGUGAAAUUUUGGCCACUAAACUUUGCAAAAGUCCUCGAGUGCUCACAACACUUUGAAAAAAUCUUUUAUUACUCACUAAAUUUUGAUAUGACCGAAUUUUGGGCAUUGAAUUUUGAUGUAGUCGAAGAUUGGCCACUAAAUUUAAAAAAGUUUUCUAUGCUGACAAUAAAUUUGGAUUUAAUUAAAAUUCCUAGUCAAAUUUUGGAUUAAAAUUUGAAGUUAAUUCAAUUUUAACAACAAAUUUACUGUUUGUUUCGUUGCAAGUAGUAGUCACUUUAUUUGUACAACUUUGCAAGCGUUGUUGAUCUCACGAGGAAUGAUUACUCAAUUACACAAAAGUUAAAUUUAAUUUUAAUAUAUAUUUGUAAAAUUUUAAGAUAUUUUCGUCAUUUGCAAAAUUUAAAUUUAUUGUGUGUUUCAUUAUCAAAAUUUGAAUUUUGCAACGAAUCACAAAAAAAGUUUGUUGUUAAAAUUAAAUUAAUCGAAAUUUCAAUAAUUAAUUUUAAUUAAAUCAAAGUUUAUUGUGAGCAAUAUAAGAUGUUUUUCAAUGUUUAGUGGUCAAAAUAGACGUUUUUCAAUGUUUAGUGGCCAAUAUUCGACAACAUCAAAGUUCAAUGAGCAAUAGAAGACUUUUUCAAAGUUUAAUGGGUAAUCGAAGAUGUUUUUCUAAGUUUAGUGAUCCAAAUUCAACCACCUCAAAGUUUAAAGGCAUGAUAGGGUGCCAUAUAUGCAUUUCGUUAAUUAUGUCACCAAUUUCGUUAAGAAAUUGAAAAAGAAAUUAUGACAGUGAGUAACGUCUAACAUUUGGAUAAGUCGAGUUGUUAAAAUUCGACAUUUUAAAUUUCAAUGAACAACCGGAGAUUUGACAUAACUCUAGUUACCAUUGGUGCAAUCGGAGAUUUGAUUGCAGAGUUGAUUGCAAAGGACAGGAGUAAGGUAAUCUCAGCCUUGCUGACAGUCGCAGUGUGAGGGUUCGAUUCCUGAGAUAUGAAAUUGGAUUCUGUGUGGGUACCAGUGUACGGGCAAGCUCUUGUUCCCUAAAUUGCUGGGACACAUCCCUUACGAUGCUCCAGGGGUGGGGCGGUGAGGGCCCUCAAGGUUGGGGUUCAACAUAUAUAUAUAUAUAUAUAUUUUAAAUCUACAACUCGAGAUUUCCAUACAGUGAGCUAAGCAUUUGAAGAAUGACACGUGGCAAUAUAUGCAACAUUCAAUCUUUGGCUUAGACUGCCUAUCAGAAUCAUACACUCUUAUUGGUUUAAACCAUAUCACAUUAUCUACUGUCCGAACUUGUGAAAAAAUAAAAAUCCAACUAAAAAAUGUAAACCUUUUUGUUGACAAAUAUUGAUAAUUUUUUUCAUCACAUUCAACUAAGCAACACCAAAUUCUUUCAUGGCCAUGGCAACUCAAGCCUACCUCUUUAUCCCAGCCCUCUUUGGCGACGAUCGGGUGGCAAUGCUGUGGAAUCAAUCCUCUCUCAGUCGCUUGCAUCAUUCAUCAGUCCUAGGCCGAUCAAGUCCAUCGUGGCACACAAUCCUAUAAGGGCCAUGACCGAGGAAGCGCCUGCCACGAAAGAGGUGAAGAAAGAGGCUCCGAUCAACUUCACUCCUCCGGAACUGGACCUGAAUACCCCAUCACCAAAAUUUUUGGUGGUAGCACCAGUGGACUAUUGCACCUAAGGAACAAAUUUCUGAAAUGCCAACUGGUGGCGCCGCCGUUAUGCGGCGGGGACCUAACCUAUUGAAAUUGGCUCGGAAAGAAUAGUGUUUGGCUCUUGGGACUAGAUUGAGGUCCAAGUACAAGAUUAAUUACCAAUUUUACAGAGUUUCCUAAUGGUGAGGUGCAAUAUUGGCACCCUAAGGAUGGUGUCUAUCCUGAGAAUGUGAACCUUGAUCGCCAAGGAGUCGAGAAGAACAUGCGAUCCAUAGGUAAAAAUGUCAGCUCGAUCGAGGUCUAAUUUACUGGUAAGCAAGUGUGACAUAUGAGGCGACGGAAAUUAAUUAUGUGACGCGAUUCUGUAAUUAAUUGAUCUUCAUCUCACUUUUAUUUUAUCGAUGCCGCAAACAUUGGUUGGACUAUUUAAUGUUUGUAUGUUAAUUUUCUAUUAGCACUUUGCUUUCUAAGAUACUAUCAAACUUAUAUAUUAUACUCUUAAAGCAACUCCAACCCAUAUACCAUUCCAUCAUUUUCUACUAAAUUUUACCAUUUUUCACCAAAAUACC
rnacentral:lncRNA from 1 species